rnacentral:rRNA from 1 species
GACGAACGCUGGCGGCGUGCCUAAUACAUGCAAGUCGUGCGGACCUUGUUGAAAGCUUGCUUUUAAAAGGUUAGCGGCGGACGGGUGAGUAACACGUGGGCAACCUGCCUGUAAGACUGGGAUAACGCCGGGAAACCGGGGCUAAUACCAGAUCGUUUUUUCCUCCGCAUAGAGGAAAAAGGAAAGGCGGCUUCGGCUGCCACUUACAGAUGGGCCCGCGGCGCAUUAGCUAGUUGGCGGGGUAAUGGCCCACCAAGGCAACGAUGCGUAGCCGACCUGAGAGGGUGAUCGGCCACAUUGGGACUGAGACACGGCCCAAACUCCUACGGGAGGCAGCAGUAGGGAAUCUUCCGCAAUGGACGAAAGUCUGACGGAGCAACGCCGCGUGAGUGAAGAAGGCCUUCGGGUCGUAAAACUCUGUUGCCGGGGAAGAACAAGUGCCGUUCGAACAGGGCGGCGCCUUGACGGUACCCGGCCAGAAAGCCACGGCUAACUACGUG